rnacentral:rRNA from 1 species
GACGAACGCUGGCGGCGUGCUUAACACAUGCAAGUCGAACGAAGAGCGAUGGAAGCUUGCUUCUAUCAAUCUUAGUGGCGAACGGGUAAGUAACGCGUAAUCAACCUGCCCUUCAGAGGGGGACAACAGUUGGAAACGACUGCUAAUACCGCAUACGAUCUAAUCUCGGCAUCGAGGAUAGAUGAAAGGUGGCCUCUACAUGUAAGCUAUCACUGAAGGAGGGGAUUGCGUCUGAUUAGCUAGUUGGAGGGGUAACGGCCCACCAAGGCGAUGAUCAGUAGCCGGUCUGAGAGGAUGAACGGCCACAUUGGGACUGAGACACGGCCCAGACUCCUACGGGAGGCAGCAGUGGGGAAUCUUCCGCAAUGGACGAAGGUCUGACGGAGCAACGCCGCGUGAGUGAUGACGGCCUUCGGGUUGUAAAGCUCUGUUAAUCGGGACGAAAGGCCUUCUUGCGAAUAGUGAGAAGGAUAGACGGUACCG